rnacentral:lncRNA from 1 species
CUUUCUCACAAUCUGUCAGAUGCCUCCAAAGGCCCUGAGGUGAUAACUACAGGAUAAAAAUAUUCACUUAAAUUAGUGGUUUUCAACACUGGCUGUAAAACAGAAUCAUAUGUGGGUUCUUAAAAGACUGAUGCUAGGGGCUUAUCCCAGACCAAUGGAAAUGGACUCUCUGGAGGUGAAAACCAGGUAAACUGGCCUCAAAAAAGUGGAUAAUAUUCUAACAUGGGAAUGCAAAACCAUCAUGCCUGGAAGAUCACUGCAUCAAGGAAAAAAAUUUUCAGCCUGACCAAUAUGGAGAAACCCCAUCUCUACUAAAAAUACAGAAUUAGAGGAGAGUAGGUUCCAAGAUGGCCAAAUAGGAACAGCUCCAGUCUACAGCUCCCAGCGUGAGCAACGCAGAAGACGGGUGACUUCUGCACUUCCAACUGAGGAUAUAUGAUUGUGUGGCCUGACAAUCUCAGAAAGUAAAAGCAAAGAAAUUGAAAGACAUGGAAAGAACUAGGCCGGGACCAGCACUGGGCCUUAAUAACCAGUUCACUGAGAUGCAUUAUCCAUAUGAUUCAAGAGAGAGCCUUUAUUACUCAUCCGACCAAGCUUGCAGUGAAACUUUUUGUAAGAAAAGGAAUGGUGUGUUGAGAAUUAAAAUUAAGUGACAUCACCAACAAAAGAACCUAACUGCCCAUGCCUGUAACUUCCUGGACUUGGGGAGGCCAGAGAGCUCCAAUGGACUGAAAAUAGGACAAUUCAUUUAUACAGAACAGAACAGAAGUUCCUUCAUGGAGAAAUCUAUCAUCCACACGCCCCAUUAAAAAGCAAAUGAGAAAAAUCUCAGACAUCUUGUCUGCUGUUUUAUGCUGUCUAUUCCUUUAAUAUCCUUCCCAAGGUUCUUUUUUUAUUGUUUGGCCACAAUGCCUUUUAAAUAUAAACAGAAAAG